rnacentral:snoRNA from 1 species
AGUCUUUGUUGUGGGCAUUGGUGCAGUAAACCCUUUGUAUCGUUCCCAGGCCUCUAAAUAGCAUUUUAAAUCCAGUUGUUGGAAAGUAGUGAUCUCAUCCUUUAGCCU